CUUUAUCAUCUUAUUCAAUCAAUCUUAAGACAUUUACUCGUGGAUGCUACCACCAUAGUUGCCAUUUUGUGUAAGAAAUGGUAUUAAUCCUUGAAGACAUCUUCCAACCUCAGUUUGGACAAGCUUCGAUACAAGAGAAAAUCUUAUCAUAAUUACAUACAAAUUUUUCUGAGCUCCAUGCAAUCAACCUUGAUAAAUCAUGACAAAGAAACACCUUCAAGAUCUUCGGAUUCGAUACAAACCAUGACAAAUCAUGACACA
rnacentral:lncRNA from 1 species